GGGCAGGCGAACCAAAAAAUCAUAACAAUUUUUAACCAUGCUAGCAUUGCCGUAGGUUCCCAAGUGAACGCCCCUCACAAAAUUUGAAGAUAUUCCGAAGCUAUGUGAACCGUCCCCUCGGGGGCCAUGGUACAAAUCCCCCCGUAACAAACGUCAUUCUCCCAGCAAACCAAAACCAUCAUCAACGGAUCUCUGGGCUCUUGCGGCGAGGAAGAACGCAUCGAAAUCCGAUAAGUAAUCGAAUGGCAGAGUUCAGUGAGUCAGAGAAUCCAUGACCGCCAGUAUUCUGGCGGGCAUGCCUGUCCGAGCGUCAUUUCAACCCUCGAACCCCUCCGGGGGGUCGGCGUUGGGGAUCGGGAACCCCUCAGACGGGAUCCCGGCCCCGAAAUACAGUGGCGUCUCGCCGCAGCCUCUCCUGCGCAGUAGUUUGCACAACUCGCACCGGGAGCGCGGCGCGUCCACGUCCGUAAAACACCCAACUUCUGAAAUGUUGACCUCGGAUCAGGUAGGAAUACCCGCUGAACUUAAGCAUAUCAAUAAGCGGAGGA
rnacentral:rRNA from 1 species